rnacentral:lncRNA from 1 species
UGUAUUAAACUCAAUCAAUCUAGAAGGUCAAGGAAGGCAACCACCGGCCAGCUAGCCACCAGCUGUGACCGACCAGCCACCAGCCGCAGCCGCCAGCCGCCUUCACACCAUUGGCCGCCAGCCGCCUUCACACUUGAAGGUUGAAUUAUCUUGUUUUGAAUUCGUGUAUAAAUAGCAAGCUAAGCUUAUGUUAUUCUGUGGAGAGAGUAGAGAGAAACACUAGAGAGAAAGAGAGAGGGCGUGUAUUGUAAGCUUCUGUGUGUUUGUAAGCUUCUUGUUCUUGUAAUAAAACAGUGUGUUUUAUCCCCUCUGAGUGUUUCAAAGCCACCACCAGUGGUUUCUCCCACCAACAAUUGGUAUCAGAGCCCCGUUCGUCAGAAAACAGAAGUGUUUUUGGGAGAUAUCCGAAUUUUCAAAGUUGUCAAAAACAAGUUUUGAUCAUUCCAACGUGUAGAGCUCAUCCAUACGAACUCACUGCCGCAACAAUCAGCUCAAUCGGACACCGGGGUGAGCUACACGCGCCGACUGAAGAUCCGGUGACUGUAGCCCAGUCGCACCCACGCGCGCCAGAGGAAGAAGACGAGUGACGUCCACGCGCGCCAUAUUUGAGCCGUUAAGCCGCGCCGCGCCGAGCCGAAAGCCGAGCCUCCAGCCGCGCCGAAGAAUAUUCCCAAGAAUAUUCCUUUUUCAAGCCUAGCCGCUAAGCCGAGCCGCUAUUAGCCUAAGCCGAGCCGAUAGAAUAUUCCGCAGAAUAUUCCCGGUUCAACCCAGCGAACCGCCCGACGCCCAGAUUUGGUGUUGUGACCGGUUCACCCAUUUUCGGACCUGAUUUCUACAAAUUCAGACCGGUUCCCGACUAUUUCGACCAUUCCGGAUCGAUCUACAGUGUCCGUUUUGCCAAAUUCAACUCCCAGAAGGAGAUAUAGUCAUUCCAAGAGCAAAAUGACUACAGAAAGUACACAAACACUCAUCCCGAAGCUGACCAAAGACAACUAUGAUAGUUGGUGCAUCAGAUUAAAGGCAUUCCUUGGUUCACAAGAGUGUUUGGAGAUUGUACACUAUGGUUAUGAUGAACCAGAGUUCAAAGAAGAAGAAGAUGCUUUACAAGAGGCACAGAAGCAAGCCUUGAAAGUCAACAGAAAGAAAGACAACAAAGCAAAGACCAUCAUCUACCAAGGUCUUGAUGAAGAUACAUUCGAGAUCAUAGCUUCCGCUGAAACAUCACAUGACAUAUGGGAGGCUCUCCAACAAAAAUACAAAGGUGCUGACAGAAUCAAGAAGAUUCGUCUUCAAUCUUUGCGAGGUGAAUUUGAGUUAUUGCAAAUGAAGUCCUCGGAAUCUAUUUCUGAUUAUCACACAAGGAUUAUGGUGAUAGUCAAUCAGAUGAGGAGAAAUGGAGAAGCCAUCGUCGAUUCUCGAAUUACUGAGAAAAUUUUGAGAUCCCUAGAUCCAAAAUUUGAUUUUGUUGUUGUCGCCAUUGAAGAGUCCAAGGAAGUGGACAAGUUGACAGUUGAUGAGCUUAUGAGUUCUUUGCAAGCUCAUGAGCAGAAGAUUGUAAAGCGAAAUGGAGAUAAGGCAAUUGAGCAUGCCUUACAAGCAAAGCUGUCUCUCAAGGACAGAUAUGAGCAAGGGGAGACUUCAACAAGUGGAUAUACCACUCAAACAGGAAGUCAACAAUCCAGAGGAGGAUUCCAGAGAUUCCAAGGAAGAGGUUCUUGGAAUACAAGCUUUAGAGGAAGAGGUGGUAGAAACACCACCAGAGGAGGUAGAGGACAACAAGCAUUCACUCCUAGAGGAAGAGGAGGCGGUUACAAUAACCGUGACAAGAGGAAUAUCCAAUGUUAUAGUUGCAAUCAAUUUGGGCACUAUAGCACUGAAUGCAGAAGGAAAGCUCCGUUGGAGAUACGUGAGCAAGCCAACUAUGCAGAGAAGGAUGACACAGCAGAAGCUGCAUUUCUUGUCCAACAAGAAUUUGGCGAGAAACAUGAAAAUAUAUGGUAUCUAGAUACUGGAGCCAGCAAUCACAUGUGCGGCUACCGAGAGUUAUUUAGUGAUCUAGAUGAGACCAAACAAGGUCUAGUUACUUUUGGAGAUACCUCAAAGGUUCCGUUCAAAGGUAAAGGCAGCAUCCCAAUCAAGUUGAAGAACGGCGAUUCCAGCUACAUCGCCAAUGUCUAUUAUGUCCCAGCCAUAAAGCAGAACCUGAUCAGCUUAGGUCAACUUUUGGAGAGAGGAUAUACUUUUUACUCGAAGAAUUGUCAUCUGACAAUUAGAGACAACAAUUGGAGAUUAAUGGCCUAUGUGAAAAUGUCCAAGAAUAGGAUGUUUCCUUUGAACAUCCAGUAUGAUGCAGCAAGGUGUUUGAGUGCCAUCACCAACAGUGAAGAAUGGCUUUGGCACCUGAGGCUUGGACAUCUGAAUUUCACAAGUCUGAAGAUGCUAGCAAGCAAGAAGAUGGUCAAAGGUUUGCCUCACAUUGAUCAUCCAGAUGAAGUCUGUGAAAGUUGUGUCCUCAGCAAACAUCACAGAUCCAGUUUUGCCAAAGAAGUCAACCGGAAAGCAAAGAGGCCACUGGAGUUAGUACACACAGAUGUGUGUGGCCCAAUUACGCCUAUGUCGACUGGACAAAAUAGGUACUUCCUCACUUUUAUUGAUGAUUUUAGUAGAAAGACGUGGAUAUACUUUCUGAAGAGGAAGUCAGAAGUAUUCAAUUGUUUUAAAGAUUUUAAAGCAAUUGUGGAGAAGCAAAGUGGCUACAUGAUCAGAAUAGUGAGAUCUGAUCAAGGUGGAGAAUAUACAGCAAAUGACUUUGAAGCCUAUUGUACACAACAAGGCAUCAGACAUCAGACAACACCAGCUUAUACACCACAGCUGAAUGGUGUAGCUGAAAGAAAGAAUCGCACGAUUCUUGACAUGGCAAGAAGUCUGCUCAAAGCAAAGAAGUUGCCCAAGCAAUACUGGGCUGAAGCUGUAUCAUGUGCAGUGUAUCUACUGAAUCGCUGCCCAACCAGAAGUUUGCAAGGAGUCAUUCCAGAAGAAGCAUGGAGUGGUCACAAACCAAGUGUUACUCAUCUACGAGUCUUUGGUUGUGUGGCAUAUGCAAAGAUCCCAGAUGCAAGAAGGAGAAAGCUCGAUGAUAAAAGCGAGAGAUGCAUCUUUGUGGGAUAUGGUGAGAGAAGGAUGGGAUACAAGCUGUAUAAUCCCAUCACGAAGAAGGUGAUUAUGAGUAGAGAUGUUAUCUUUGAAGAAGAUAAAUCUUGGGAAUGGAAUGAUGAUCAAGAAGUAGUCAAAUGGAUCAAUAUGGAUUUGAUCCUUGAAGGUGAAGAAGUACCAACAGUACUUGUCGAAGAACCGAUUGUGCCAGCAGCUGAACCACAAAGUCCGGUGAUUAUACCAACAGCUGAACCACAAAGUCCGGUACACAGAUUCCCUGUAUUCAACAGGAGGAACACACCAGGAGCAUCAUCAUCAACACCAGCAGCAACAUCCUCGUCAGAAGGACCAAGAAGGAUGAGAAAUCUUGAAGAGUUGUACGAUACCACUCAGGUCAUGGAAGAUACAACUCUGUUUUGUUUCUUUGCAGAUAGUGACCCACUAAGCUUCGAUGAAGCUAUCACAGAAGAGAAGUGGAUAGAAGCAAUGGAUGAAGAAAUACAUGCCAUUGAGAAGAAUGAUACCUGGAAGCUGACUUAUCUACCAGAAAACAAGAAAGCAAUAGGUGUCAAAUGGGUUUACAAGACAAAGAAAAAUGCAAAAGGAGAAGUGCAAAGAUACAAAGCCAGAUUAGUGGCUAAAGGCUACAAACAGAGAGAAGGCAUUGACUAUGGAGAAGUAUUUGCUCCAGUAGCCCGGCUAGAGACAAUCAGACUGAUGAUCUCACUAGCUGCACAACAUAGAUGGAAGAUCUAUCAACUCGAUGUGAAGUCAGCAUUUCUGAAUGGCUUCCUAGAAGAAGAGAUCUAUGUUGAACAACCACUUGGAUACAUUGAAGCUGAAAAUAAAGGCAAAGUAUACAAGUUGAAGAAAGCUCUCUACGGUUUGAAGCAAGCUCCGCCUGCUUGGAAUACUAGAAUUGACAGGUAUUUUCAAGAUAAUGGAUUUGAGAAAUGUCCAUAUGAACACGCCAUAUAUGUGAAGAAAGGAGCAAAUGGUAGCAUCUUAUUUGCGUGCCUGUAUGUUGAUGAUUUGAUAUUCACCGGCAACAACCCUACCAUGUUUGACGACUUCAAACAAAACAUGGUACAUGAGUUUGAGAUGACUGACAUUGGUCUAAUGUCACAUUUUCUUGGCUUGGAAGUAACGCAGAAAGAAGAAGGGAUUUUUGUAUCCCAAAGCGGUUACGCCAAAGAUAUUCUUGAAAGGUUCAAGAUGGAAAGCUGCAAUCCGGUAUCAACUCCAGUUGAGAAUGGAGUGGAAUUGAGGAAGAGUAAGGUUGGAAAUGUUGAUCCAACUUACUUCAAAAGCUUAGUAGGAAGCUUAAGGUACUUGACAUGUACCAGACCGGAUAUACUCUACGGAGUCGGACUCGUCAGCAGAUACAUGGAGACGCCAGACCAAUCUCAUUUGAAUGCAGCCAAGAGAAUUCUUCGCUACAUCAAAGGCACAAUGAAUGAAGGUAUGUUUUAUACCUCAAGUAAAGAUUUUAAUCUUGUAGGCUACUCGGAUAGUGAUUGGGGUAGAGAUUUGGAUGAAAGGAAAAGCACAACAGGGUUUGUCUUUUUCAUGGGAGACACAUCUUUCACAUGGUCAUCCAAGAAGCAAUCGAUUGUAACAUUAUCAAGCUGUGAAGCUGAGUAUGUUGCUGCCAACUCAGCCGUAUGCCACUCAAUAUGGUUAAGGAAUAUGCUGAAGUUUUUGGGAUUUCCUCAAGAAAAUCCUACGGGGAUUUAUAUUGACAAUCGAUCAGCAAUCGCAUUGGCAAAGAACCCAGUGUAUCAUGAGAGGAGCAAACACAUUGAUACACGUCAUCACUUUAUCCGGGAACAUGUGAAGAAUGAAGAAGUCCAACUGAUAUCUUGCAACACAAAUGAUCAAGUUGCUGACAUCUUCACAAAGCCAUUAAAAGGAGAAGCAUUUAUCAGAAUGAAGUUCAUGCUUGGCAUGACAUCCCUCGAUUGAGUUUAAAGGGGAGAUUUGUUGUAUUAAACUCAAUCAAUCUAGAAGGUCAAGGAAGGCAACCACCGGCCAGCUAGCCACCAGCUGUGACCGACCAGCCACCAGCCGCAGCCGCCAGCCGCCUUCACACCAUUGGCCGCCAGCCGCCUUCACACUUGAAGGUUGAAUUAUCUUGUUUUGAAUUCGUGUAUAAAUAGCAAGCUAAGCUUAUGUUAUUCUGUGGAGAGAGUAGAGAGAAACACUAGAGAGAAAGAGAGAGGGCGUGUAUUGUAAGCUUCUGUGUGUUUGUAAGCUUCUUGUUCUUGU